GAAAUGCGAUAAGUAGUGUGAAUUGCAGAAUUCAGUGAAUCAUCGAAUCUUUGAACGCACAUUGCGCCCCUCGGCAUUCCGUGGGGCAUGCCUGUUCGAGCGUCAUCUACACCCUCAAGCCCUGCUUGGUGUUGGGCGUCUGUCCCGCCUCCGCGCGCGGACUCGCCCCAAAUGCAUUGGCAGCGGUUCCUUGCCCCCCUCUUUGCGCAGCACAUUGCCAUUCGAGGCGGCGGCGGCCCGCGUCCAACAAGCUCAACCCCCCCGUCUUUGACCUCGGAUCAGGUAGGGAUACCCGCUGAACUUAAGC
rnacentral:misc_RNA from 1 species